AUACUUAUCUGGCAGGGGAGAUACCAUGGUCACGAAGGUGGUUUUCCCAGGGAGAGGCUUAUGCAUUGCACUCCAGAUGUGCUGACCCCUGCGAUUUCCCCAAAUGUGGGAAACUCAACUGCAUAAUUUGUGGGGGGGGGAGUCCGUUCACACUAUCCCCUA
rnacentral:snRNA from 1 species